ACACACUGUAUACACACAUUGUAUUAUACACACACAAUAUACACACACAAUAUACAAACUGUAUUCACACAUUAUAUACACACACAUUAUAUACACACACAAUAUACAGACACUUUGCAUUUGGUUUCAUGGCACCUCCAUCACAGGCCCCCCCUUUCCUCGGAGCCCCUGCCCAGCAGUCAGUGGGGUCAAAGGGUAGGUUGAUUGGCAUCUCUGGAAAUUUGGGGAUUCCCACUCGGCUGAAGAGCUUGAGGAGCUCCCAGGCAACAUUCUGGAAGGUGGCUUUUCGAAGUGGGACCACCUCGGGGUAACGGGUGGCAUAAUCAACCAGGACAAGGAUUUAUUAAUGUACAUUCAUAUACACACAUGCUGUUUUGUGUAGAGAAUUCUCCAUCAGUCUACCAGAGAGUGUAGAAGCUCUGAGAGGACUCUGUGUUCUUAUACCCUGCAGUUUUCAGAUUGAAGAGCGAUAUGAUGCAGACCUCCAGGGAGAUCCUACAGGAAUCUGGUUAAAAGAUGGCAUUAAUGCUG